CGCGGGGUGGAGCAGUCUGGUAGCUCGUCGGGCUCAUAACCCGAAGGUCGUAGGUUCAAAUCCUGCCUCCGCAACCA
rnacentral:tRNA from 1 species